AUUGAACGCUGGCGGCAGGCCUAACACAUGCAAGUCGAGCGGCAGCGGAAAGUAGCUUGCUACUUUGCCGGCGAGCGGCGGACGGGUGAGUAAUGUCUGGGAAACUGCCUGAUGGAGGGGGAUAACUACUGGAAACGGUAGCUAAUACCGCAUAACGUCGCAAGACCAAAGAGGGGGACCUUCGGGCCUCUUGCCAUCAGAUGUGCCCAGAUGGGAUUAGCUAGUAGGUGGGGUAAUGGCUCACCUAGGCGACGAUCCCUAGCUGGUCUGAGAGGAUGACCAGCCACACUGGAAAUGAGACACGGUCCAGACUCCUACGGGAGGCAGCAGUGGGGAAUAUUGCACAAUGGGCGCAAGCCCGAUGCAGCCAUGCCGCGUGUAUGAAGAAGGCCUUCGGGUUGUAAAGUACUUUCAGCGGGGAGGAAGGUGUUGAGGUUAUUAACCUCAGCAAUUGACGUUACCCGCGGAAGAAGCACCGGCUAACUCCGUGCCAGCCGCCGCGGUAA
rnacentral:rRNA from 1 species